AUUGAACGCUGGCGGCAGGCCUAACACAUGCAAGUCGAGCGGUAACAGGAAGCAGCUUGCUGCUUUGCUGACGAGUGGCGGACGGGUGAGUAAUGUCUGGGAAACUGCCUGAUGGAGGGGGAUAACUACUGGAAACGGUAGCUAAUACCGCAUAACGUCGCAAGACCAAAGAGGGGGACCUUCGGGCCUCUUGCCAUCGGAUGUGCCCAGAUGGGAUUAGCUAGUAGGUGGGGUAACGGCUCACCUAGGCGACGAUCCCUAACUGGUCUGAGAGGAUGACCAGCCACACUGGAACUGAGACACGGGCCAGACUCCUACGGGAGGCAGCAGUGGGGAAUAUUGCACAAUGGGCGCAAGCCUGAUGCAGCCAUGCCGCGUGUAUGAAGAAGGCCUUCGGGUUGUAAAGUACUUUCAGCGGGGAGGAAGGGAGUAAAGUUAAUACCUUUGCUCAUUGACGUUACCCGCAGAAGAAGCACCGGCUAACUCCGU
rnacentral:rRNA from 1 species